UGCUGGUGUAGGGAGAGUCGACAACACAGGCUGCUAGCAGAGGAACACAAAGCUGUGUUAUAAAUGGAAAUAUCAAGCCUCACACAAAUAAAAUAAUCUACCCUGGAGCUGAAGCCGUGCCUGAGACAUCAUGAAAAUGCCUGUUGCGCUAACACUGCUGCUGUACUUGAAGCCGAGCCCCAUCGAGCAGGGAAAGCAUGCAAACCCGACCCUCCACACCGCUGCAGAUUUUGCCAGUGGCAUUUGAAAUAUUUCAGGCACUUCAGACAACUCUCCUUGGACUAAAGCAGAAACUUACCCAAUAGGACUUAUAUUAAAAAAAAAAAUCUGUUUAUCAAGUUGCAGAACAACAACUAUCCAUCUAGUUUAUUAGAUGGAAACAAGAAAAGCAGAGGGAGAUUUUGCUGACAUUAUUUCAACACGGUGCCUUGAUUAAGUGACUGUUAUGAUCAGUGCAAGAGGAAACAACACUAACUCAUUAUAAGACAUUUCCUUGUGCAAAGGCAGAGAAACCAUCACAGGAGAGGAACUCUGAACAUAUUAUUAUUACUGAGUAUUUUGGCUGGCUCGUGCUAUGUGGAAACGCCAGUUCUGCCCGGCUGCUUGAGAAGGGCAGCAUUUGUCCCCUGCCUUCAGCAUGAAAACACAACUCAAAUCCCUUCUUGGGAACAAAGGUGCUUCCCAGGAGCCUGGCGUGCUGCCGGCAUGCCGAGCGCGUAGCCAAGCAACCGCAGCCAGAUCGGGGCUUGCGCCUCACCCGUGAUGCUCCAGCCUCCACAAACAAUUCUUGCCACGUAGACAAGACCGUGCAGGGUAAUGGAAAAUUACUGCAGGCUUUCUCUUAAAGGGCGAGAAUCUCCUCUGGCGGAGAAGGUUGGUCCGCAUCCCGCUUCCCAGCGCACCCCAGGGUGGGUCAGUUCCCUGAGGACAACGGCCAGCACGCAGAAACUGGGAAUAGGGGACUGGGACAGAGGCGUGCAAGAUGCCUCCCGCCAGCAGCACCAAGGACUCAGAAAUUCAGAUAUCAAGUGUGGCUGUGUCUUGCACAGAUUUUAGCAUUCUGUAAACAUCUUGACAUUAUAAGGGAAAGGCUCUCACCUGCAGACCUCCAAGGGGUGUGACAAGUGUACUCUGCCCUUCCUGUGCCAAACCUCUCCAAAAGCCUAAGCUGUUGCAUUUCAGUGGGGCCUCAAAAAGGAGCCAGUGACAGUAACUGGAUCAGGCUGAAAGCAAAAAUGCUUGAUUUUUUGUAUGAAUUAGCAACCCAAGAAGAGUAUGCUCCAGGGCAGGACUUGGUGGCAUUCCUCUGCCUCCAGGAUGCAGCUCAACCCUCCAGUCCGUCUCUGCUGCAACGUACAACAACACGGAGAGAUGUGGGAGUCAGCCUCUGGCAGGCCUGAAUGCUCAGGGUUUGCAAGCAAUGAGAGUCCCAUUGCUGUAGUGCAGAGUGAGAUGUAAUCCUCCAGAUCCCACGAGGGCUUCUACCCCCGCUCGUCUGAACCACCUCCAAAAAACCAAAGCUCUCAGCUCCUUCGAAGCCUCUUCCGCACCGCUCCGUGGCCAUAGCUAGCUCGCUCUCUGGGUAUAUCCCCGCUGUAGGAAGUAUUUUCCAUGCGUUUAACAGAUGGGUAAGCUGAGAGAGGGGAUGAAGCACGUCGUUUGGGGCAGAGGUGGAAAGGGAGGUUUGUCUUCCCACUUCUCCAUCGUGACCAUCCGCUCCAUCUGUUAACACUUCAGCACAUGAUGCCAAUCUUCAGUGUGAUUCCGAUUAGUCUGCAAAGUGCUGCUUGUUGAUGUUUUGGUUUGAUACUUGGAGAGCUCUGUGGAGAUAUUUAAUUAUACAAAAUUAAUUCCUUUGAGAACAACCUUCUGGCAGCACUUCAGAAAGUGCUAGGGAGCUUCUGUUGUUCUGACACUUUUAAAAAUUUUCAUUAGCCAUUUCCUAAUUUAUUUUUAAAAGGACAAUCAAACGACAUCAUUCCCCAGGUUAAACGAUAGCUGUGACUUGCCUUCCAGCAUCGCUAUCAGAAGUUGAGGUGCCAGACCUCACCAGAAGACAACUUCCCACAGCUGCCAAGCCCUUGAAAGGUUUCCCUUCUGCCUGUGCUGUCAGAGUCCUCUGGCCUCUUUGUUUUCUGUCCCUUUUUGCCACCUUCAGACCAAUUGUGGGCUCUGACGAUGACAAGACAGGCAUGGUAGGACAGGGGAUCAUCAGUGGUGACCUUGCUGGCCAGCCCUGCAACAUGACAUUGCUUACAGCCAUCCGAUGGGGAGCAGGAGGCAAAGCAGGAGGUGAAUGGCUGCCUCCUUCAUACCUGCCUUCUCCUUCAGUUGAACUGGGAUACUGGUAAUUCCUGCGGGACCAUCUGCUACUAAUUCUGCAAACCUCCCACAGAUGAGGGCACAGAAGGGCAAAGUCUUAGUAUGAUUAAACUUUGUGAUCCCCAGAGGUCUGUGUUUGCCAUCGUACCCGGGUUGGAGCGGGGAGGAAAAUGGCACAGGCUGCAAGUACUGUGCAAAAUGCAUAUUUUAAACCCUGAGCAAUCCCCGUAAGCCUCUUCUCUUUCACACUGCAGCCAACCAGGCUCUGGCCACUUGGGCCCAGUUACAUCACGGAAGACACCUUUGGGGUCAGUGGCUGGCAGAAAAGCCAUGUGAAACUGCGCACCUUCCUUCAAUAGAAAUUCAUUUUCUGUCCCAGCUCCCAGUCCUCUUCUCCCUCUGAGGUUGCAUGGGCAGCUCCAGGCUUCCACACAGGUUUCUCAGCCUUGUUUCUGCCUCUGUUGUCUAUCAACCACUGUGCAAAAUAAAAGUCUCCUUUUUGAGGUUUGCCUUGGCAUCUGUGCACUUACAUUGGCACAGAGCAUCUCAUGGUUUCAUUGUACGAAGUGAAGGGUUGAAGCAGCACCAAAAGGUACAAGGUUUAGCCCUCUUCUGGCAUAGCCUGAGCAAUGCACCAGUAACAAAGGGAUGCACGGCAUGAUGCCCAUUUUAUUCGGUCUCCUCAGUUCCUUUAGAUCGUCUCCAAAUUAAAUUAGGAUUUAUGUGCAUCUUUAAAAAAAUCUGCCCAUAUCAAGCCAUAAAGGAAGAAGGAAUCUGUACUUAAACGCUUAAUUAGGGGACGUCUGCAGAGUGCUCUGCGAAUGGGAUGGUGCUGGAAUAUGCUAUGCAUUUGGUAUUUAAAUAUAGCUGUAUACACACCCUCAGCCUCCUGAACUGCUUAAAACCUCCCAGCAGGUGAUCACAAGCCUUUCUAUAAUUGAAAUGAACUUAAUCCUGACAAAAAUGUAGCAUCAGCUGUUGUGAAAUCUGUGGCUGCUCUCCAAGUAUUUCUUAUAUUACCUUGGUCUGUAUAUUAAAGCGAGAAUGCUGUGUU